rnacentral:rRNA from 1 species
GAACUUAAGCAUAUCAAUAAGCGGAGGAAAAGAAACUAACAAGGAUUCCCUCAGUAACUGCGAGUGAAGUGGGAAAAGCUCAAAUUUGAAAUCUGGCAGCUCUUUCAGGUUGUCCGAGUUGUAAUCUAGAGAAGCGUUACCUGUGUUGGACCGUGUAAAAGUCUUCUGGAAUGGAGCAUCAUAGAGGGUGAGAAUCCCGUCUUUGACAUGGACUACCAGCAUGCCAAGGUGCACUCUCAAAGAGUCGAGUUGUUUGGGAAUGCAGCUCAAAAUGGGUGGUAAAUGCCAUCUAAGGCUAAAUAUUGGCGAGAGACCGAUAGCGAACAAGUACCGUGAGGGAAAGAUGAAAAGAACUUUGGAAAGAGAGUUAAACAGUACGUGAGAUUGCUGAAAGGGAAACGCUUAAAGUCAGUCGCAUUAGCUGGAAAUCAGGCUUGCUUUUGCAAGGUGCACUUUCUAGUUGAUGGGUCAGCAUCAAUUUUAAUCGUUGGAUAAAGUCAUUGGGAAUGUGGCAUCUUUGGAUGUGUUAUAGCCCAGUGUUGAAUACAGCGGUCAGGAUUGAGGAAUUCAGCAUGCCUCUAGGGGCCAGGUUUCGACCAUGUUCAUGCUUAGGAUGCUGGCAUAAUGGCUUUAAUCGACCCGUCUUGAAACACGGACCAAGGAGUCUAACAUGCCUGCGAGUGUUUGGGUGAAAAACCCAUACGCACAAUGAAAGUGAAAGUUGAGAUCCUUAGGGAGCAUUGACGCCCGGACCAGACCUUCUGUGACGGAUCCGCGGUAGAGCAUGUAUGUUGGGACCCGAAA